CUGAACCAGGGAAAUGAGACCAAAGAAACAGCAGCCAUGGAUCAAGAAUGAGAACACCCAGUCCCUUGAAAGCAGAGGCUAUGAACUAUUGGCUCAGACACCAAACCUCCCCUGCCCAUACCAUGUUUGUUUGGCCCACAGUAAUUUUUCUUAACUUUUUCUUUUGAAAUAAUAGUAGGUUCACAGGAAGUUGCAAAGGUGGCACUGAGAGGUCCCGUGUGCUCUUCACCCAGUUUCCUCCUGUGGUUGCGUCUUAGAUCCCAGGUACCGAACUGAAGAUGGUAGAGGAAAAGUUUUUCCUGCUUAACAUAUUCAACUCUCUACCCUCAAUAUAUUUGGCUGUUAUUAUUCUGGUUUACAUGUAUCAUAAUUUAACCAGUUCCCUACUGGUGGAUGUCUAGGUUUCCCCGAUGUUUUGCUAUUAAAAACACACAUGGUACACGUUUUUCUAGAUCGGGCAGGGUUUGCCCAUCUCCACUUCAAGCAGCACAACCACCAUCUGCCAGUGUUGGGGUUUACUCUACAGUCAGCAAACACUGUUGGCACAUCCAGUCAGAGAAACUGAAAACAGAAAGCAGAAAUGGCUUACACUGGACUAAUUUUAGAAUUUCUAAGUACAUUUAAGUGAUGACUCAUCCCACUUAAAUUCAAAGCUGUUUGUUGUGCCAUCUGGCUCAUCAGAACAUGAAAGACUUCUCCUGCAACCUGGAAAAAGGCCAGAGAGGAAGACGAAUGGAGGAGUCAACCCCAUGGGAAUGCUGACUGAGUGUUAGCUCCCCGUGGACAGGAAUGUCACUGCAUGAAUAGGCUGCAGUAUGUCUGGGCCUGUUUUUUUUUCAUAAAAUGUUCCCCCCCUGUUUUUUUCUUAUUCCAAAGCAAUGCAACAAAAAGCACAAGAAAUCAAAAAGGAAAAAAUAGAUAUUGGACUUCAUCAAAAUGAAAAACUUUUGUGCUUCAAAGGAAAUGGAAAGAAAGUGAAAAAACAACUGAGGGAAUGGAAGAAAAUAUUCUCAAAUCAUCAUCUAACAAAGGUUGUGUUAGUCUGUUCAGGUUGCUGUAACAAAAUAUCAUUUCAGGUCACCAGGUGGCUUAAACAACAGAUUCAGUUGGCCCUCCGUAUCCAUGGGUUUCAGGCCUUCGACUUCAACCAACCUCAAAUAAAAAAUAUUUUUAAAACCCAAUACGGCCGAGUGCGGUGCCUCAUGCCUGUAAUCAUAGCACUUUGGGAGGCCGAGGCGGGGGGAUCACUUGAGGUCAG
rnacentral:lncRNA from 10 species